rnacentral:lncRNA from 1 species
UGCAUGCUUGCUCAUUGCCUAUUUUGCUGGCACUUACUAGGUGAUACGUCUAACGUGCACCUUUUUCAUCUUUAGCUUGGCUCGGUGCUUUCGGUUUAUGGAUGUUAUCAGUACGCUUGCAAGACGGAUAAAUCUGAUGCAGACCGUGGUUCUUAUAUCAUUGCUCCCACGGAGGAAAGUACAUAUGACAAUUCCAUCAAAAGUUCUUGUUUGAAUAAAACACAUGAUGGUCGGGAAAUUGCAGGAUUUUGGGGCUACCUGUUUCAGAUCAUGUUUCAGGUAACUCGUCAUAUACAUUUGAGUACAAAAUGCACAUGAUUUUCUGAGUUUUAAUUGCUGAACAGUAGGUGU